UCCACGUCCUCCACGAUGAUCUUGAUGCUGGCCUCGUCCCUGAAUGGGCCCACGGAGAAGAAACGAGGGUUGAUGUGGACGUUCUCCACCUGAACGCGGAGACUGUACUGACGCUUCCUCUCAAAGUCAAGAGGCUGCGAAAACAGAAAGAAGAGGCAUGGUUGCAGCCACUGAAGGUAUCCCCCUGUUGAUGGAAAUAAUUGGUGCAUUUUAAUGAAUGUGCGCCUGGUGCUGAGCGGGACCAGCUGGAUCAGAGUGAGCUUCCACGCUGCCUACUGUACACAUGAAAGGAUCCCGGAUCCAUGAGUGUUGGAAACGGCCAAUGAAAGCUUGAAAAAUUCACUUGGAACGAGUCAUUUUCUGAAGCCAUGAAAAAUAGCAUAAUAUGAGUCAGUGAUUUUCGCUGUUUCUUGUUAAGGCACAGGGAGAUCGCACGUCAGUGGGAGGAAUGUGUUGCUUUGAAGGACCGGUACAAGCAGAGAUGGGACACACUCCCACUUGACAAGCCCAUUUAAUUAGUAGGUUCAGAAUUGGGGCAUGCCCCCACCCCCCUCCUCCUCACCACACACACACACACACACUUUGCCUGCACACCACAUCUACUAGAGCACCACCGCGGCUACAAAAGGCAAUUAUGUCAUCCUCCACUUAAUGAUGGCAUGAUGGAAACGAUCGAUCUAAGGCUGCAGAGAGGGCGCUUGAAUGAUAAGGCAACUGCCAGAUUUUGUUGAAUACAUCAGAAACACACCACAGCACACUGCUGAAAGCUGCGAUCCAUACCGAGCAUCAAUAUUUCUUCUUUGGUCUCAGCUGAGAGGAAGAAUGAAUCUCACUCGAAACACAUGUACUGGGAGUGUGGGCAAGUGUAAGGUGAAAUCUAAUAACUCUGCUGUCCAUUUUCUGGCUGCCAGGGCAUAUGAAAAUAAAAAGUUUUAUGUA